rnacentral:rRNA from 1 species
UGGGGAAUUUUGGACAAUGGGCGAAAGCCUGAUCCAGCAAUGCCGCGUGUGUGAAGAAGGCCUUCGGGUUGUAAAGCACUUUUGUCCGGAAAGAAAUCCUUGGCUCUAAGUACAGUCGGGGGAUGACGGUACCGGAAGAAUAAGCACCGGCUAACUACGUGCCAGCAGCCGCGGUAAUACGUAGGGUGCAAGCGUUAAUCGGAAUUACUGGGCGUAAAGCGUGCGCAGGCGGUUUGCUAAGACCGAUGUGAAAUCCCCGGGCUCAACCUGGGAACUGCAUUGGUGACUGGCAGGCUAGAGUAUGGCAGAGGGGGGUAGAAUUCCACGUGUAGCAGUGAAAUGCGUAGAGAUGUGGAGGAAUACCGAUGGCGAAGGCAGCCCCCUGGGCCAAUACUGACGCUCAUGCACGAAAGCGUGGGGAGCAAACAGGAUUAGAUACCCUGGUAGUCCACGCCCUAAACGAUGUCAACUAGUUGUUGGGGAUUCAUUUCCUUAGUAACGUAGCUAACGCGUGAAGUUGACCGCCUGGGGAGUACGGUCGCAAGAUUAAAACUU